rnacentral:rRNA from 1 species
UACGGAGGGUGCAAACGUUAUCCGGAAUCACUGGGCGUAAAGAGCGUGUAGGUGGUUGUGUAAGUGGGUGAUUAAAUACCGAGGCUUAACCUCGGGAAUGUUGUCUAUACUGCACGACUUGAGGAAGAUAGGGGCAAGUGGAACUUUAGGUGUAGGAGUGAAAUCCGUAGAUAUCUAAAGGAACACCAAUGGCGAAGGCAGCUUGCUGGGUCUUAUCUGACACUGAGACGCGAAAGCGUGGGGAGCAAACGGG